rnacentral:rRNA from 1 species
AUUGAACGCUGGCGGCAGGCCUAACACAUGCAAGUCGAGCGGAGCGGCGGACGGGUGAGUAAUGCCCAGGAAUCUGCCAGGUAGUGGGGGAUAACGUCCGGCAACGGGCGCUAAUACCGCAUACUAUCAGAUUAUCCUAGGUCGGACUAGCUCGUUGGGGGGGUAAAGGCCUUCCAAGGCUACGAUCCUUAACUGGUCUGAGCGGAUGAUCAGUCACACUGGAACGGAGACACGGUCCAGACUCCUACGGGAGGCAGCAGUGGGGAAUAUUGGACAAUGGGCGAAAGCCUGAUCCAGCCAUGCCGCGUGUGUGAAGAAGGUCUUCGGAUUGUAAGGCACUUUAAGUUGGGAGGCGGUACCAACAGAAAAAGCACCGGCUAACUUCGUGCCAGCAGCCGCGGUAAUAC